GGAGGAGGAGGAGAAUCGUCCAAAAGAAACGCCUUUUUCUUUGGCUCCCCCUUCCACAGUGCGCAAAACCACCGCCGCAACACCCACAGAUUUCCACCUUUCCUCUCCGCCAGGCCCUUCUCAAGCUCGCAGCCACCUCCUCCUCCCCGCCCGCCCGCCCGGCAUGGCGCUGCACCGCGCGGCCUCCGCGAUCCGGCGCCGCGGGCCCCUGCUGCCGGGCAGCGCGCCGGCGAGGGCGAUGGCGUCGCUCUUCGGCCACGUCGAGCCGGCGCCCAAGGACCCCAUCCUCGGCGUCACCGAGGCCUUCCUCGCCGACCCGUCCCCGGACAAAGUGAACGUCGGCGUCGGCGCCUACCGGGACGACAACGGCAAGCCCGUCGUGCUCGACUGCGUGCGCCAGGCGGAGAGCCGGAUCGCCGGCAACCUCAACAUGGAGUACCUUCCAAUGGGAGGAAGCAUCAAGAUGAUUGAAGAGUCGCUAAAGCUGGUGUACGGAGAGGAAUCUGAGUUCAUCAAAGAUAAGAGGAUUGCAGCGGUGCAGGCGCUUUCAGGCACUGGUGCAUGCCGGCUCUUCGCUGAUUUCCAGAAGCGUUUCUUGCCGGAUUCACAGAUCUACAUACCUACGCCGACAUGGUCCAACCACCAUAAUAUUUGGAGGGAUGCUCAAGUGCCACAGAGAACAUACUCAUAUUACCAUCCAGAAUCAAGAGGGCUUGAUUUCGCAGGAUUGAUGGAUGAUAUCAAGAAUGCUCCAAAUGGCUCAUUUUUCUUGCUUCAUGCAUGUGCCCAUAAUCCUACUGGGGUAGAUCCUACAGAGGAACAAUGGAGAGAGAUAUCCUAUCAGUUCAAGUUGAAGAACCAUUUCCCAUUCUUUGACAUGGCGUACCAAGGAUUUGCUAGCGGUGAUCCAGAGAGAGAUGCCAAGGCAAUCCGUAUAUUCCUUGAAGAUGGGCACCAAAUUGGAUGCGCUCAGUCGUAUGCAAAGAACAUGGGCCUUUAUGGACAGAGAGCGGGAUGCCUGAGUGUUCUAUGUGAGGAUGAGUUGCAAGCAGUUGCUGUUAAGAGCCAAUUGCAACAGAUUGCGAGACCAAUGUACAGCAACCCACCUGUCCAUGGUGCAUUGGUUGUAUCUAUUAUCCUUAAUGAUCCAGAAUUGAAAAGCCUAUGGUUGAGAGAGGUCAAGGGUAUGGCUGAUCGUAUCAUUGGAAUGCGGAAGGCACUUCGGGAGAAUCUCGAAAACUUAGGUUCACCUUUAUCAUGGGAGCAUGUUACCAAUCAGAUUGGAAUGUUCUGCUACAGUGGGAUGACACCUGAACAAGUUGAUCGCUUGACAAAUGAAUACCAUAUUUACAUGACACGCAACGGGAGAAUAAGCAUGGCUGGUGUAACAACAGGAAAUGUUGCCUACUUGGCUAAUGCCAUUCAUGAUGUGACUAAAUAAAACUGAGGCUUCUUACUCUCACCUCCUUCAGCCAAUGAAACAAGAGCGGUUUUUAUUUCUUUUGACGGCUAUUCACUAUAUACCAUGAUACUAGAGAAAUAAGUUAUAGCAAACCUGUUGCAGCUGUCUAAAUGAAGAAUUGUACCUGGAUGUCUUUGAGAGAGCUGUAGUCUGGAUCCUGUUUUUGACUGUUCCUUUAGUGGUAAAUGUAACGAGUCAGUUGAAAAUGGCUCUACCUUUAUUUUAACGAGAACUCCAGGAAUUUGAACUUCAAAAAUUGAGCAUUCGGAUGUA